rnacentral:rRNA from 1 species
CCCUUAGAGUUUGAUCCUGGCUCAGGAUGAACGCUAGCUACAGGCUUAACACAUGCAAGUCGAGGGGCAGCAUUUCAGUUUGCUUGCAAACUGGAGAUGGCGACCGGCGCACGGGUGAGUAACACGUAUCCAACCUGCCGAUAACUCGGGGAUAGCCUUUCGAAAGAAAGAUUAAUACCCGAUGGUAUAAUCAGACCGCAUGGUCUUGUUAUUAAAGAAUUUCGGUUAUCGAUGGGGAUGCGUUCCAUUAGGCAGUUGGUGAGGUAACGGCUCACCAAACCUUCGAUGGAUAGGGGUUCUGAGAGGAAGGUCCCCCACAUUGGAACUGAGACACGGUCCAAACUCCUACGGGAGGCAGCAGUGAGGAAUAUUGGUCAAUGGGCGCAGGCCUGAACCAGCCAAGUAGCGUGAAGGAUGACUGCCCUAUGGGUUGUAAACUUCUUUUAUAUGGGAAUAAA